rnacentral:rRNA from 1 species
GGGUCAGUAGGUUGGUCGUGCCACCGGUACGUACUGGUCUCAAUGAUUCCUCCUUCCUGAAGAACCGUAAUGACAUUAAUUUGGUGUUGCGGGGAAACAGGACUGUUACUUUGAAAAAAUUAGAGUGUUUAAAGCAAGCUAACGCUUGAAUACAUUAGCAUGGAAUAAUGAAAUAGGACGAUCGAUCCUAUUUUGUUGGUUUCUAGGAUUGACGUA